UAUACAAAUUGACUUACAUUAUAACAUGCACGGAUAAUCGUGUUUUCUCAACUGACAAUUCACUUGACAUUGACAAGCAUCGCGUACGCGCAUGAUUCAGUGAAUUUAGUGAACAUACAAACUAAGUCGAAGAAAAAUACUGAUUUGCUGUGUGAACUAAAGGAAAUGCCACCCAAAAUGUAAGUUUCUCUAAUUUAUUUAUAGAAAAAGUUAUAGUUCGUUUGAUCAUUAACUGGUUUUGUCAUGAAUAUGUUUAAUUUCAGACGAUGCUUCGGCGCACAAGAAAAUGCUAGCCAAAUAUAUAUAACUCAGCAUCCCCUGUUCGCCUACACCUACAGGGAGAUCCAUGAGCCUCUCGGAAGCCAGAGAUACAAAAUGCAAUGCUUCACAUUGCACAUAACUUCUAAGAUCCAGAAGAAAGGAUUGAAGAUGGUCCGUCGGGCCUGGGCAUUAUGAUCAUCGAGGGGCGGCACACGGAAGCCGGCCGAGGAAUCUUCGUCUCCGACUUACAAGAAGGCAGCGCUGCCGAACAGUCAUGACAUAUUGGAGGCUUGAAAGUGCACAUACCCAUACAUUGGACGUUAAGCUCAACGAGACCAUGCGAUGCAUCUCAGGCACUAUCCGAUCUACAACCGCCACUGGCUGCCGGCAUUGAGUCACAUUGCCCCUCCUCACAUCCGACGACUCAAGGCGUUGAAGAGGGAGGCUGAGAAUAUCACGAAUAACCCCACCCUGACCCUGUGCUACAGCUGGGAGCCUGAGCAGCUUUAAUAUUUCGGAUAGGUGGAUAGCGGAAUGGUCAGCUUCGGCAGCUCGGAGUUGCUGUAUAUCUGACCCAACUAAAAAACCAAAAGGGUUUGACCUUCCUCGGAAAAUCUGGUGCCGCCUGAGAACCGGACACUCAUACCCUGGGCCUGUUGAGGACCUGAAGACCGUGACACCUGACUUGGUUGCUUAGCUUGGCAACCUCAAGGCUACACUCUGAAUGCCACUUUAUUGGAGCAUUCCACGAGCUGUCCCGUACAAACGCAUUUUAUUUCCUGUGUUGCGACUUUUUUUUUUCGCCAUUUAAAGCAAGCGAAUAAUUUUCCG